UACAGAGGGGGCAAGCGUUAUUCGGAAUUAUUGGGCGUAAAGGGCGCGUAGGCGGCAUGGCAAGUGGAUGGUGAAAUCCCUCGGCUUAACCGAGGAACUGCCGUCCAAACUGCUUCGCUUGAGACCGGGAGAGGUGAGUGGAAUUCCCAGUGUAGCGGUGAAAUGCGUAGAUAUUGGGAGGAACACCAGUGGCGAAGGCGGCGCACUGGACCGGUACUGACGCUGAGGCACGAAGGCCAGGGGAGCAAACGGG
rnacentral:rRNA from 1 species